rnacentral:rRNA from 1 species
GCCUACGGGAGGCAGCAGUAGGGAAUCUUCCACAAUGGGCGAAAGCCUGAUGGAGCAACGCCGCGUGGGUGAAGAAGGUCUUCUGAUCGUAAAACCCCGUUGUUAGAGAAGAAAGUGCGUGAGAGUAACUGUUCACGUUUCGACGGUAUCUAACCAGAAAGCCACGGCUAACUACGUGCCAGCAGCCGCGGUAAUACGUAGGUGGCAAGCGUUAUCCGGAUUUAUUGGGCGUAAAGGGAACGCAGGCGGUCUUUUAAGUCUGAUGUGAAAGCCUUCGGCUUAACCGGAGUAGUGCAUUGGAAACU